AGCGGAACGAGCCGGAACGCCCGCGCCAGCGGCUGCGUUUCCGGUCGGACGCCUUUGCCCAGCGCCCCGCGUCCCUAGGGGGCGGCGGCGGCCGCGUCGGCCGAGGUAGCGGGGGGAUCCGGAAGUCAACACCAUGUCGAGUCUGCACAAGAGCCGGAUUGCAGAUUUCCAGGAUGUCCUGAAGGAGCCCACGAUUGCCUUGGAAAAGCUUCGGGAUCUCAGUUUCAGUGGCAUCCCCUGUGAGGGCGGACUGCGGUGCCUCUGCUGGAAGAUUCUCUUGAACUACCUCCCCUUGGAGAGAGCCUCAUGGAGCUCCAUCCUGGCCAAGCAGAGGGAGCUAUAUUCUCAGUUCCUGAGGGAAAUGAUCAUCCAGCCCGGCAUUGCCAAGGCCAACAUGGGUGCGUCCAGGGAGGAUGUGACCUUUGAGGACCAUCCACUCAACCCCAACCCUGACAGCCGGUGGAACACGUACUUCAAGGACAACGAGGUGCUGCUGCAGAUUGACAAGGAUGUCCGGAGGUUGUGCCCAGACAUAUCCUUCUUUCAGAGGGCCACCGAGUAUCCCUGCCUCCUCAUCCUGGACCCCCAGAAUGAGUUUGAGACCCUUCGUAAGCGGGUGGAACAGACAACGCUGAAAUCCCAGACAGUGGCCCGGAACCGGAGUGGGGUCACAAACAUGAGCUCCCCACACAAGAACUCUACGCCUUCGGCCCUCAAUGAGUACGAGGUGCUGCCCAACGGCUGCGAGGCCCACUGGGAGGUGGUGGAGCGGAUCUUGUUCAUCUACGCCAAGCUCAACCCUGGCAUUGCUUACGUGCAGGGCAUGAAUGAAAUCGUGGGGCCCCUCUACUAUACCUUUGCCACUGACCCCAACAGCGAGUGGAAAGAGCACGCUGAGGCAGACACCUUUUUCUGCUUUACCAACCUCAUGGCUGAGAUCCGGGACAACUUCAUCAAGAGCCUGGAUGACUCACAAUGUGGCAUCACCUACAAGAUGGAAAAGGUCUACUCCACCUUGAAGGAUAAGGAUGUGGAACUCUACCUGAAACUGGCUGCAUGGUGUUACAUGGCAACCAACCGACACGGAUUCUUGUUCCCUGCUCCUCGCCUCUGUCUCCCCAGCAAGAGCAGAACAUCAAGCCGCAGUUCUUCGCCUUCCGCUGGCUGACGCUGCUGCUCUCCCAGGAGUUCUUGCUGCCUGACGUCAUCCGGAUCUGGGACUCCCUCUUUGCCGAUGACAGCCGCUUUGACUUCCUCCUCCUCGUGUGCUGUGCCAUGCUCAUACUGAUCCGGGACCAGUUGCUGGAAGGGGACUUUACAGUGAACAUGCGGCUCCUGCAGGAUUACCCCAUCACAGAUGUCUGCCAGAUCCUACAGAAAGCCAAGGAACUCCAAGACUCAAAGUAGCCUGGCAGCAAGCGGCCUGGGUUUGGAAGAGAAGCCGCCGACCCCUGUGCCCUGGCUUCUGGGACACGCAGAUGCCUGUGGGAUCCCAGCCUGAGAGGAAGCUGCAGGAGUGGCCUACUCCAGGCCUCCCCACUCUAUGCCGUUCCCACCGGGGCACACUGUGCCAUGCUCCUUCUGACCACCGAGCCCUGGCUCCCUCCUCACCCUGCCACCCUGGGACCCUUUGCCCAGGCCGCCAAGCAAGGCUGGAGCUUGUGAAGUUGUUUCCUGGGGCUGGGGCAGAUUGGGGGCACUGGGGGCUGACAAGGGUCCCUCCCUGCCUCUGCUCUGCUGCUCCCUUCCUCCUCUCCUCUCUGGUCUUCUUCUGGGCUCUCUCGGGUUUCUGGCAAAUGAGCCAGAAACCACUUCUGGGGGCUGGUGCUUAGGCUUCUCCAUGGGGAAGGUGACACUGAAGGAGCUAAGAAGCUGCCUGGCCCAGGUCACACCCUCUGUCCCCCUCCCACUGUCUGUCUAUAGUCAUGAGUUGGUGUGUGUGUGUCUGUUCAUCCCCAGGUAUCUGCUUCUGUGUGUGUGUGUGUGUAUGAGGGAGGGGAGGUACCUUGCAUCCCUCUAGGUCUCUGCUUCUCCUCCUCUGUCUCUCUCCCUCUCUCUGCCUGUCUCCCUCUCUUCUCCCUCCGCCUCUUUCACAGAGGGUGUAUGUGACUCUCGCUCUGUCUGCUCCUCUCUCCAUUGCUCUCCCUCUGCCCCUCUCUCUUGGGGUGCCUUAUCCCCAGCCUCUUCCUCUCCCUCCUCCCUUCCACUCCUGUGAACCCUGGAGACAGAAUGAGGAGUCUGGCUCAGCAAAGCCCCUGGAGGUCAACCUUGGCCUUUGCACCCCGUUCCCCUCCGCCAGUCCUAGGCGCCCAGGUCCCCCAGACUGGGAGGGCGUCCACAGUGCCUCACUGGAGCGCCCUGAAUCUGCUCCCCAUGACAUAUCUGGAAACCAAAAGCUGCCAGGAAAUGAUGGCCCGUGAAGCGUUGAGCCUCUUCCCCUCCUCUCUGCCCAGGGAUGGGGGAGGGAGAAGAGGGGGAGCUGGGGCUCCCAGAGAGUCCCCAAAAGGCCCUUCUCUCCCAAAGGAAAAGGACAUGAAGGUGAUUGUGUUUCAGGGGUUGGGAAGAGUAGUGAUUCUCAUGGCUUCCAGGUCUCAGCCCAGGGUGGUGAGUCCCAUAAAGGGCAAGUGGGACCCAAGGGAGCCUCCCUGCACUGGGCGUAGCUGAGCUCAAAGGCCCUGGAUCCUGGCAGUGCCAGGAGAGCCGCAUCUUCCCCCAAGCAGGCUGCAGGGGAUGCUGGCCUGUCUCUGGUCACCUGCUUGGGCUGUCCCAGGAUUUAGGGCAAAUGUCCUCUGAGCAGGAGCAGCUGGCUACUCCCGCUGCUGGGCUGUUGGAGUAGUGGCCGUAUUCUGACCAAGUCCCCUCCUUCUGUGAGGAGGCUGGUGGUUUGGGUCUGGAAGGCUGGGUAACGUAGCAAGGGUCCUAAACCUCUCCUCAGACUGGCCAGCAGGGCCCUCUUCCCCCAAAGCCUUCCUGAGUCUGGCAGCCAGGACUUCCUGCUGCCCACGCUGGCCAGGCUGUGGGCCUGGAACAGCUCUCAGGUGGCUCCUUUGCCAGGCUGUGCCCUGGGUGCUUCGGGGACUUCAUGCACUUGCCUUUUUGCCUCCUUUCCCAACACACGGUAUUUGGGAGAUUUUUACUAUUUAUUUAGACUCCUGGUUAUUUAUUGCAGAUUGGCAAGUGCUGGGCUUGGGGAUAAAGGGUGGGGCUGGGAAGGCAGAAAGGAGUUGGAGACGCGGUCUGACCUCCCUUCCAAGGUCAGAGUCGGCAUCCCGCCCCCUGCCUCUGGGACCUUCCUGGUUUUCCAGCAGGUCCUGUCCACGAAGGCUCUGAGCUUUCUACUGGCGCUAAGUGUGAGGGAGACAGGAGAGCUGGUAUCCUUACCAGGCUUCAAGAGCCAGGCACGAGGCAGAGACACGCCUUCCCACCGGCCGGGCUCACCCUCUUCCCAGAACUUGUUCGCUCCCAACUUUGACCCCUUCACAGCCUGAGGCUCGGGCCACAGCCUGGGACCCAGCAGACACUGCCCAGGACACCUGAUGCAUUCCCUCUCGCCUGACCCCUGCCUUCCCUCCUGGGGCCACACUACUUGAAUCACUGCGUCUAAUUUGCCUCAGUCAGACCUGGGCCCGGUGCCUUCUUGACCUUGGGUUGAAGGUCAGGAGCACAGGGACGUGUCCAGGUUAGGCUGAGCUCCCCACUGGGAUCCUGCCUGAGGAAAGCACCUGCCCUAGGUGAUCCCCCUCCCCAGACUCUCCAGGGAGGUCCCCAGAGAGCCAGAGUGCCUGAGGCUUCCUGCUUGGAGAGCUGCCCCCAGGACUUUGGACCCUUACAGAUGGGGCUGGCUGAAUUCAGCAGUCUCACUCCAGAGGGUCGGAACGUUAGUCUGCUUCUGUUCGUUCAUCAGUUUCGUUCUUAAAUCAGUGCUGUUGAUGACAAGUUGUCUUUAAUAAAUCAUGUGUUCUUUGCAAUGGG